UUAAUUUAAAUAUGUUUCAAUUUAAAUAUCAGAUGGAUAGACAGGUAAGGAGCUGAAAUCUUUUCAUCCACAAAGGAAAAUUCACUAAUUAAAAAAAAACAAUUAACACAUCACAUAUCAAUUUCUUUCCAAUUUAAACAUUUAAAUAAAAAAUAUAAGUAUAGUGGUGCCUUAACUUCCGAGUUUAAUUAGUUCCGAUCUCAAAUCAUCUUUCCCCACUGAAAAGAUGGGCAUGCCAUUAAUCCGUUCCAGUACCACAAAAAAUAAAACACCAACAAAAAUGUUUGUAACGUGUUUUUCAAUAAUAAAAUUAGUACUCUCCAGUAUUUUAAACUAUAAGAACAUAUAGUAAUACUAUAAUUCAGUAAAAAGAAAAGAAGUGCGUCAGGAUAUUUUCAAUGCGCUUUGUGAUACUCAUUAGUGGCCACCAGGGGGAAAUAUAAUACACAUACUCGUCGAUUUGAUGAUGAAACACGAAGACCAUUGCCACCAAGACCAAUAAACUGCGCUAAUAUUAGUCUUUUUUUGGCAGAAGGAUACAGAAUAUAUGCUUGAAUGGCUUUUACCAAAGCCCAAGUGUUUGUUUCCUUCAGAUGGCGGCUGGCUGAAAAAGGGCCUGUGUUGUAACGAAUCGGCUGCCGAGGUGACAAAUCAUCUGACGAACACUGACAGUAGCAGCGGGAAGAAAAAGAUGAGAUAAACAGGAGGUGGCCCAGCGGCGUCCUCCGUGUCUCCCUGAGCGACAUCCGGGAAGCAAUCUGCUAAUGCGGCCCCGAGGAACAAUGUGGCAAAGUUAAACGCUGGCCGGGGAAGAUCCAGAGCCACUUUCAAGCGACGAUCACCGGACUACACUGUCUGACACACUAUCAUAUGGAGCACUAUCGGGACGAAACAUCCACAUCCUACAUGAGUGUGACGCCUCUGCUGUCGCGUCAAAUCCAAAAGACAAAACCGAUGCUUCGCCUUCUUAUCAGUUCAUAUUCACACCUGCGUCAUUGGAGGGGACUGUCUCACACUCCUUUUCGGGGACCCUUAAGAGCCAACGGCAUCGUGCGUCUGUGCGUCAGUUGGCGACA